GUUUCGUACCGAAGCGAACCGAACAUAAUAAUUCGUAUUGGGCUGAACCAACAGAAACAAAAAUUGAAGGGCUAUGGACAAACACGAAAAGACCAGGUCAAAAUUGUGUCUUGUGUGCAUGGAACGCAGUUUUGUGUCCAUUGCCAGUUCUAAUUAUCUUCAUUUAGUGAGGGAGUUUGUUGUCAAUGGAUACGCUCUGGAAGAUCCAAGACUUCCGAGCGGACUGUGUUCCAAUUCCUCCGUCCCACCCUUAUCUUAAAAGAGUGUCCCUACUAUUUUCGUUUAUGAAUAUCUUUUGGGGCUCAAAAAGGCAACUUUCCAUCCCAAUGCAAUCUUGGUACAUUAACGAAGCAGCUUUUAAUUUAUCAGAAUGAUUUCGAUUUCAUUGUGAUUUUACCGAUUCUAUUGCUCUCAUGGUUUAUUAUAUGGAAUUGGGAGUUUGUUAACUAACUUACUUUUAUUUUUAUUUACCUUUACUUCCGAGCUCUUUGCCACUUGUGCGUUCCGAAAUGAUUGGGUCCCAACAUAUUCUUCGAGAAAAUAUGGCACGAAUGCAAUCCACUUGAACGUUUAAAAAUCAUUUUCCGUCACGUGGAUUGCCAACAAAGCAGCAUCAGAUAAAAGCACUCAUUACGUGUCUAUGAAAGUGGCCAAAAGUCUGCGGAGAUUCUAUAACUUGACCUCAUGCUCCCUACCAAGAGUUCUCACUUCAAUGUUGACUCCGAUAUCAUGGCAUCAAAAGCUAGAUUAAUUGUUAUGGGUAUCGCUGUUGCCUUGGCAUAUGUUUCUUUGGGACUUUUACUAUCACUCCAGCCCGCUUUUUAUCCAACAGAAGCAGAGUCUAAGGGUGCCACUUCAGCCCAAUAUGGAUUGGUGUUCGGGAUCGUCAGCUUAGGCGGCUUUAUAUUCUCUCCCAUAUUUGCACAUUAUGGAAGUAUAAUUGGGCCAAAGAUCCUCUACAAUUUGGGCGGAAUUGUCCAAGGGAUGGCAGCGUUGGCUUUUGGAAGCUUGGAGUUUGUGAAUGACACAUGGACAUUCAUUGGGCUUUCUUACUUGC